GGACGGGCCAGCAUCGAUUUCGACCGUCGGAAAAGGGCUGGGGAAAUGUGGCACCUUUCGGGGUGUGUUAUAGUCCUCAGUCGCAUACGUCGGUUGGGAUCGAGGAUCGCAGCGCGCCGCAAGGCAGGGGUUCGCCCACUUUCGCGCUUAGGAUGCUGGCAUAAUGGCUUUAAACGACCCGUCUUGAAACACGGACCAAGGAGUCUAACAAACCUGCGAGUGUUUGGGUGGAAAACCCGAGCGCGUAAUGAAAGUGAAAGUUGAGACCUCUGUCGUGGAGGGCAUCGACGCCCGGACCUGACGUUCUCUGACGGAUCCGCGGUAGAGCAUGUUUGUUGGGACCCGAAAGAUGGUGAACUAUGCCUGAAUAGGGUGAAGCCAGAGGAAACUCUGGUGGAGGCUCGUAGCGAUUCUGACGUGCAAAUCGAUCGUCAAAUUUGGGUAUAGGGGCGAAAGACUAAUCGACCCA
rnacentral:rRNA from 1 species